rnacentral:rRNA from 1 species
AGCUCCAAUAGCGUAUAUUAAAGUUGCUGCAGUUAAAAAGCUCGUAGUUGGAUUUGUGGCGCGGCCGGCAGGCGCGGGUUCUUCGUUGAGCUUGUCGUCCUGGUCUUCGGCCGUCCCUUUCUCGGGUAGCGUGCGGCUGGAAUUAGUUUUUUGGCUGCUUCGCGCCCGUCGUUUACUGUGAAAAAAUUAGAGUGUUCAAAGCAGGCUUAGGCCGUUGGAUACAUUAGCAUGGAAUAAUGAGAUAGGGCCACGGCGGUCUAUUUUGUUGGUUUGCACGUUGUGGUAAUGAUUAACAGGAACGGUUGGGGGUAUUCGUAUUCUACUGUCAGAGGUGAAAUUCUUGGAUUUGUGGAAGACGAACUACUGCGAAAGCAUUUACCAAGGAUGUUUUCA